AACGCGAAGAUCCUUACCUGCGGCUCGAACGGGUAGAUCAACGGCGGUGGAAACAUCGCUACCCCGCAAGGGGGUCUAUUCGAGGUGCUGCAUGGCUGUCGUCAGCUCGUGUCGUGAGAUGUUGGGUUAAGUCCCGCAACGAGCGCAACCCUUGUCCUGUGUUGCCAUCAUUCAGUUGGGAACUCGCAGGAGACCGCCAGCGAUAAGCUGGAGGAAGGUGGGGAUGACGUCAAGUCCUCAUGGCCUUUAUGUCCAGGGCUACACACGUGCUACAAUGGCCGGUACAAACCGCAGCAAACCCGCGAGGGGGAGCCAAUCGGAAAAAACCGGUCUCAGUUCGGAUUGCAGGCUGCAACUCGCCUGCAUGAAGCUGGAAUCGCUAGUAAUGGCAGAUCAGCACGCUGCCUGUUUAUAUACGUUCCCGGGUCUUGUACACACCG
rnacentral:rRNA from 1 species